ACGCUCGACACCUACUGGAGGCAGCAGUGAGGAAUAUUGGUCAAUGGACGCAAGUCUGAACCAGCCAUGCCGCGUGCAGGAUGACGGCUCUAUGAGUUGUAAACUGCUUUUGUACGAGGGUAAACGCAGAUACGUGUAUCUGUCUGAAAGUAUCGUACGAAUAAGGAUCGGCUAACUCCGUGCAAGCAGCCGCGGUAAUCUGAGCGGGCUGGCAAGGC
rnacentral:rRNA from 1 species